GUGUUCACUGUGGAAGCCUUGGU
rnacentral:miRNA from 9 species